rnacentral:lncRNA from 1 species
UCAAUCAAUUUUUUUUUCUUUUAUAGGAGACUCAAACUUAAUUCUAAUAAUUAACGUGUUUUUAAAAUAGGAGCCAAAAGUUUGGACUGAGAGCUCUACACCCAAACAUUUGAUGAAUGAAAAAGAUCUAAACCCAACCCUCAUUUUUCAUCCAAAUUAAAGAAAUACGGAUCGAGACUUUGAAACUGAUUUGAUUUUUUUUUUUAUAAUGACCGCACUUGAGUGAGAGCAAUUGAUUUGAG